UUUUUUACUAACCAGUGUGUGAGUUUCUCUCCCCAGAUACCUCCUGCCUUACCUAAGAGGGCUGCUGGACUUGCUGCCAGCCAACCUCCAGAACUGGUGCUUCAACGACAUCAAGCAGAUUCAGACAGGAUGGACCAGAGAUGACGGGAGGCAGAUCCAGGACUAGUGCAUGACUCGAGAGACCGUGCAAUUAACACAAGAGCCAUCUCUCCAAGACCCCGAUCUUAUGAAAGAUCAGAUCAAGAAAGCAGACAAGGAA